GAAUUUUCCGCAAUGGGCGAAAGCCUGACGGAGCAAGACCGCGUGAGGGAGGAAGGCUCUUGGGUCGUAAACCUCUUUUGUCAGGGAAGAAGACCUGACGGUACCUGACGAAUCAGACUCGGCGAACCCCGUGCCAGCAGCCGCGGUAAGACGGAGGAUGCAAGCGUUAUCCGGAAUGAAUGGGGGUAAAAGGUCCGCAGGUGGCGGUUCAAGUCGGCGGUCAAAGACCGAAGCUCAACUUUGGAAAGGCCGUGGAAACUGAACAGCUAGAGUGCGGUAGGGGCAGAGGGAAUUCCCGGUGUAGCGGUGAAAUGCGUAGAUAUCGGGAAGAACACCGGUGGCGAAAGCGCUCUGCUGGGCCGCAACUGACACUCAGGGACGAAAGCUAGGGGAGCGAAUGGG
rnacentral:rRNA from 1 species